UCUGAUCUGAGUUCUGAUUUUUCCUUUCCAGUUUGGAGGUUUUGUUAGCGAGGGAGGGAGAGGCGGACAAAACGAAGAAAAGCAACGACAGUCUAUACAUAGAGGAAAAGUAAAACAGGUGUAUUUGAUAUUCUCUUUUGAAGAUAAGAGAUCUGAAGAACAAAUAUGAGAAGAAAGAUGGAGUCAUAUUUAGUAAACACAAAUUCUAGGGUUUGCUCUCUUAAUCUUCUUCUCCUGUUUGUUGUUUUCGCGUGCUUGCUUUCUUUUUAUCAUGACCUAAUUAUGCUGAAUGUUAUGAUCUUCUUACUAAAUAGAUGUAAGUAACCUCUUGAAGGUGAAGUAAUUAUGUGAUUUGACAUCAAAAUAUAAUUUUGAUAUUCUGCUUUGAAUUGAAGUUACUUUUGUUUUGAUCUUCUUCUGAUUGCAAUUGAACUGGACAUUAAAUUAGAUUCUUAUUUACUUGAGUUUCAAAGUUUGUAAUGCACAGAAUCCAGCAAUUAUAACUUUUGGGUUUCGUUGUUUCUUGGAAAUUCAAUUUUGGAAGUAAAGCAUUAAGUUUGUAUCAGUGCAGUGAUGUAUUUUUAGAAUAUUUUUUUUUCUGUGGGUCUCUCUAUGUUUUACAGUUAUGAAUGCCCGCAAUCACUUUUAAUUUAAUGCGGGCUUCCACUUAACUAUAUUCGUAAAGAUAAUCUCUCAAGUGGACUUUGUAUUUGUUCUUAAAGUAAUGUUUAACCUUAUCUCAGUGCUUUGUUCAGGUACGCAUCACGUGCAUCUUCACCACAGUUUCCUGAAAUGGUUUAGUAGCAUCUUCUGAUCUUCAUCAUGAAUUGCUGAAAUGGUUUAGUAACAGUAAUGUUGUGCUCUUCCCAUUGAAAUUCCUUUGCAGCGUGAGAGCCUAACUAAAAUCAAGGCAUCAUAAAUAGUUCUGCACUUUCUCAAUGGGAUAAGAAGAUACCUACAGCAUAGAAUUUCCUGGCACUCCAACAAUGGUUGCUUGCAAAUGUUGGAAAUAGGCUCUCUAUCCAGGCUUGCUAAAAAAAAAGAAAGAAAACAUAUGGGUUGUGAAAUCUGCGUAACAUGCAUAUUUAACAUCAUAGAGCAAGGAAAUUCCAGAGGCUUUUAUUCUUCCAGAUGAAGCAUCUUUUGUCAGGGGUACAGCUAGAUAGGCACAUCGAUCGUCUUUCAGUAUCAGAUAACACUUGGAAUCGGUUGUGUAUAUUAUGAUUGUGUACAACUAGGUGAAGAGAAACUGAUUUGAAGAAUGGGUGUUUCAUCAAAUUUGAUUCGUUUUUUGUGGUGUAUGUAUUACUUCGUCUCUGUUCCAAAUAAACAUUAGGACAAGCAACCACCAGUACACAUACACAAGUUUAUAGUAGUUCCCGGCAGGUGAGCAUUUUAAGUUGUUCGACUGAUCCAAGUUGGUGUGCGGACGUUUAUAUUACAAUAAGCAAAGGAAGUAGCAGAAGCUAGGAUGCUAAUAAUCUAUUGGAAUGAAAGGGAAUGAAAGAUGUAGUCUUCCAUGUCCGAAUAAUACUUGAGUUUCUCUUUUGACGUCGUAUUCAUAGAAACGUGUUCAAAUUGCAAAGCACCAAACUGAAUCUCAUCCCACCGAAACAACUUGAGUUACAGAUAGCAGCAGUUAUGAAACUAAUCUUAGGUAAAUAUGUUCAUGUCUAUUUAAGGGUUAUUUCAACCAUUUUCUUACAGAUUCAUGUCAUUUUUAGUUCCUCGAUAUGGGUUUUUACUGUAAGUAGUACCAUGCUGCAAUUCUUUUCAAAAAGAAAAUUAAUGAAACUAUUAAACAUCGUUUUUGUAGUUAUAUUUUUUCUCUUUAAUCAAUAAACGUUGGCCCGACUUUGAUUGGAGAGUUCUCAAAAUUGACUACCAAAAGAAAUGAUAAAGGUUUGCAGGUUUUUUUUCUAGGUGAAGUCAAAUCACCAUGGGUUCUCCGCCGGGUCAGAAGGUGCCAUAGUAAUAUAUUGGGUUUUCCCUUUAUGCCUCUAUUCUGUUCUUAAUAUUUUUUGGUGAACUGUUUUCCAAUCAGAGUUUUUCCUGCAAAAUUUUCAAAGAUACAACUCCCUUGACGAUUUCUCAGGUACCUCUUCAGCAAUCACUCUCUUGAUUAUAGUUUUAGAAGAGAAAAUCAAAAGGUCCUUCAGUUUCUUUUUUUGUUAGUAUUCAUCUAGAUUUCUAUUUCAAACUCUCUUUAUGUUAUUGAAUUAGUAAAAUAUUUGGAGGAGCCUUUAAAGGAUAUCCAUUAGUGUUGAGUACAGAUUAAAUACAGUCUGCACUCUCUAUAAUUAACCCAAGAAAGCUCUCUUUCAUUACACUUAGACAUCACAUAAAAAAUAUAGAGCUAAAUUGAGCCACAACUGCAUUAGUUACUGUUUAGUAUAAUACUAUUGGAAAAUUGAUGUGAAUUUGUAUUGCCACUUGUGAUCAAUUUUGGAUUCAUCUUCCCCUAAAAUUUUGUUUACUGAGAAAAUAGUGACAGUGGUUGGAAUGGAAAUCAAUCUUCAAAGAAUGAAAUACUUCUUGAACUAUUGGGUAGCUCAAGAAAACUGCAGUAGCAGCUGCAACAGGAGUUGAAUAUGCGACAACAAUCCAAGGGCGCAUACCCAGAUGGGGAUUUUAUGUUUUACUAACUGUGAAGGGUAAGGCUUUUCUUUUUUUUCACUUCACCAUCUAAAGGUAAAAGAUGCUGAUGCACAAGUGCAUUUGUUACUUUACUUUCACAAAACAUUCUUCUCGAAAUCUGAACUCUAACCAAGGAUCCUGAGUUGCAAAUUAGUAUAUCAAUUUUAUUGUUCGCAGAGUUUCAGUAUCUCAUUUCUAUACGUUGUAGAUGUGUAUUCUACGUAACCAGAAGCCAUAUAACCAUCUAAGUUAUGUCGAUCCCAUGGAUGAACCUUCUGGGAAUCCCUCACUGUCUCAAUUAACUCAUGAUUUAUGUGCACGAGUAUGAAUCUGUGGCGCAAUGGUAGCGCGUCUGGCUCCAUGUCAGAAGGUUGCGUGUUCGAAUCACGCCAUAUUGUGUUAACUGUCAUUAGUUCUUAUGGUCUUACUGCUUUUGGUUGAACAUACAAGUUAAUGAUGAAUCUAUUCCAGUCUUAUUAUUUUAGUUUUCGUGAAUAUAUACUCUCUUUUAGGUAUCUCACAAUUUUACACAAUUAUUUGCCUAAACACUCAGCGUCUCAUCGUCUUCAUCAACCCCAUCGACAUUCCCGUUUGGAAUCCAAUCAAUUAACUCACUGGUGCAUAUGAAUAACUCCAACAUGCUGAAAUUACAUGCUUUGGAAUUAUGGUUAGGUAAACUGAUUUUUUCGAAAGAGAAUGAAGAAUCAAUAGUUGGUCUCUCACCACCACCACCAGACCGGUUUUGAUGGGAUGUAAGUAAACCCGAACUGUCUCCUUCUUUAUUCCCUUUGGAUGCUUCUAAACUACUAGCUUUUAUCAUUUCCUAAAGACUAGAUGGUGGUGUCACAAAGCUCUAUCUUCUUAUAAGUUUUUAAGCCAGGGAUAGUCAGUUUUCGCUUCUUUGUAAAGCCAAUUUCACUUCAAAUUCGAGGAGGAGGGCAUGCCUGAUACUGGAGUAUUUUAAUCUUAUUUAUUUUCAGUCGGGAAACUAAAUUUGUCCAGCCAGAACAAUUGCUGCUCAAGAUUUUGCAUCAGAUGAUUCGGGUGUGCGGCCUGUCGGAUGAUGAAGGCGAAGUCUUGGUUGCAAACUGGAUGACAGAGCUCUAAAGCGUAAGGGUCCGAAAUGCUUUUCAAUACCGGGAAACUACGUCACAGGACGGGAGCGUCAGUACCCGACGAGGGAAAAUACCUAAUUUAUUUACAGCUGUAGGUAUAUGAUCCUAAUCAGGCCCUGGACUUUCGUGCGAAACGAAAUCCCCAGCUGAAGAGAUGCUAUUUCCUCUUCUCCUUUGUCUCUGAAAGUUUAAGAUGUCGGCAGAUCGUUGGAGUGCGAAGUUCAGUGAAUGAUAGCCAGUCUAAUUUCUUAUUAACAUCAGGUAAACUACUUUGGUUUUCUUAUAUUUUAUUUUAAACUUUUUUUGGUGGAAUUGCUGCGAAGAAUUGUUUGCUCGAAUUGGCUUUAACUGUCAACCUGGACAGUAGUAUAACAUUGUAAAUAAUCAAAAGCAAGUUAACUAUUAUAACAGCAAAUAUAUAAAUAUAACACCACUUGGCGGUAGUUGCAGGUAUGGGCGAAUUCAAGCUUUAACUUUUCUAAACAGUAACCAAUUAUCUAUUUGUCCUGGGUUGUGUAGGUUGUGGUGUUAUGAUACUAAUAUAAGUGGAAUUUCAAGAAAAUUAGGGUCAUCUCUUAUACUGCUAAGUUUCAUGUGGCCUAGAGAUGGUGUUUGAGUACGUAAGUUUGGUCCUCAGAUUCUAAAAUGUUAUCAAAUUGGUCAUCAUUUGCAUGUUCAGUAUGAUUAGCAUGGACAUCUUCUUUCGUACUUAAGUUUCAUAUGUGCAAAUUGUUUGGGCUACCAUGUCUUUGCAGAGUUUCUCCGACUCUAAUGAUUAUGAUAAUCUGGUGAGUGACAUAUAUUUCAAUUGAUGGUAUUUAUGUGUACCACAACAAAGGGAAGGUACAAUAUUCAUCUGUUUCAGUAUUGUUAUCAACUGUUAGCUAUUGGCCAACUUAUUGUUUUUGGUUGAUUUUGAAUCGGAAUUAGAUAUAGUUUAGCAUGCCAAGGCUAAAACUCAUGAAAAAAGAGUUGGAGGAAGCCUUAUUUACUUAUGUUUCUCCUUCUACUCCAAGGUUUGAUCUUUAGAUCACAUGAAAGAUUUUAUUUAUGUGUUGAAAUGAAACCAUUGAUGUGGUGGUUGUUUUAUUUUGUGAUACAUUAUUUUUUCUUGAGCUGACAAUUUGAACAUUUUAAUUUUAUUCAUAUAUGUUUAGUACUCCUUAAAUUGUUGUUUGUUGUUAGGUUGCUUCAAAUAGAACUUACUGCACCAACUAAAGUGGCGAGCCACUGAAAUCCUACAAAUUCUGCUAGACUGCGGAGGUUCCUAGCAGUUUCUACGACAUCAGGCUUGGGGAUUUGAAUAAGAUAGAAAGCUGAAGACAUCAAUGGGGACAAACUUCUCAUGCAUAACCAAGAUGGUGUGGAAAAACUAUAAACUUUUGUAACAUUUUGGGAUAGUGUUUUUGUCUAAAAAAACCCUCAUUUAUGAAACUAUUAAGGUAUGUUGUUUGUUUGAUUCGAAGCUUUAUAAAUGCAUCACUAAAUAUAAUUAAUGUAUUCAGAUCAUACCUAUGAUUAUAUUACUUAA